rnacentral:rRNA from 1 species
UACGUAGGGUGCAAGCGUUGUCCGGAAUUAUUGGGCGUAAAGAGCUCGUAGGCGGUUUGUCGCGUCUGCUGUGAAAACUCAGGGCUUAACUCUGAGCUUGCAGUGGGGUACGGGCAGACUAGAGUGCGGUAGGGGAGACUGGAAUUCCUGGUGUAGCGGUGAAAUGCGUAGAUAUCAAGAGGAACACCAGUGGCGAAGGCGAGUCCCUGGACAAACACCUG